CCCUUAGAUGUUCUGGGCUGCACGCGUGCUACACUGAUAUUGCCAAUAUGUCAUUCUUAUCCGAAAUGGAUUGGGUAAUCAAGUAAUGAAAUUUCAUGCUUGGAAUCGGUAAUUGCAAUUUUAUCGUGAACGAGGAAUUCCUAGUAAGCACUAGUCAUCAGCUAAUGUUGAUUAUGUCCCUGCCCUUUGUACACACCGCCCGUCGCUACUACUGAUUGGGUGUUCAAGUGAGAUACUUAGACCCUUGUUGCAUGGUUCAUUAUUGUGCUCCGAAAGGAAAAAGUUUCAAGCUUGAGUGUCUAGAGGAAGUAAAAGUCGUAACA
rnacentral:rRNA from 1 species